GCGUCGCGGGCGCAGAGCGGCCAGGCAGCCAACUCCUUUCUGAUAGGCUGCGCUGUAGAAAAAACAUGAUGUCAGCUAGGGUUUAAGUGCUAUAUAUAGUAUGUGGACAAGAUUACAAACUCGGGGGAUCUGUCUUUGACCAAUAGAAUACCUGGGACAGUUGCUCCAAGCUUCUCAACACCGAAGUCAUUAACUGUACCCCACUGUAAAGGUCAGCCUUGCAGCUUUGGAAGGACAGACUUGCACCUAGCAGAAGCCUGGGUCUCCUCGUAUGCCGGCUGCUUUCUCUGAACUGGAUAUGUCCUAGUAAAGAAGAUAGAACAUAGGAAUGGGAAAUACAAGAUGCUCCAACAGGUAUGGGAGUUGUAGGAACAAAACCAACAGACAUAUCAUUGAAAGAGAUCUGGACCAUCUCUUUGCUAUGGUCCUCAGCAGGCUUCCGUAUCCUGAAGUGACUUGCAGUUGGUCUGCCACAGAGCCUUGCACAAGUGUC